rnacentral:rRNA from 1 species
ACUCAAAUGAAUAGACGGGGGCCCGCACAAGCGGUGGAGCAUGUGGCUUAAUUCGACGCAACGCGAAGAACCUUACCAGGUCUUGACAUCCCCUGACAGGCUGGGAAACCAGCCCUUCCGCAAGGACAGGGUGACAGGUGGUGCAUGGCUGUCGUCAGCUCGUGUCGUGAGAUGUUGGGUUAAGUCCCGCAACGAGCGCAACCCUCAUUGUUACUUACCAGCGGGUCAUGCCGGGGACUGUAACGAAACUGCCCGUGUAAACGGGAGGAAGGUGGGGAUGACGUCAAGUCAGCAUGCCCCUUACGACCUGGGCUGCACACAUGCUACAAUGGCCGGUACAAAGGGCUGCGAUACCGCGAGGUGGAGCGAAUCCCAAAAAACCGGUCUUAGUUCGGAUCGCAGGCUGCAACUCGCCUGCGUGAAGCUGGAAUCGCUAGUAACCGCCGGUCAGCAUUACGGCGGUGAAUACGUUCCCGGGCCUUGUACACACCGCCCGU